UACAGAGGUCCCGAGCGUUGUUCGGAUUCACUGGGCGUAAAGGGUGCGUAGGUGGUGAGGAAAGUCGGAUGUGAAAUCUCGGAGCUCAACUCCGAAACUGCAUUGGAAACUACCUUGCUUGAGGAUUGGAGGGGGGACUGGAAUUCUCGGUGUAGCAGUGAAAUGCGUAGAGAUCGAGAGGAACACCAGUGGCGAAGGCGAGUCCCUGGACAAUACCUGACGCUGAGGCACGAAAGCUAGGGGAGCAAACAGG
rnacentral:rRNA from 1 species